UUUUAAUGUCCAACAUUUAUAAUAUGAGGGCUAGUGCUUUCUUGCCAAGUUUAUAAGUUUUCGACUGGCUUGUAAGGUCAAUAGGGAUACUCCUUUUUGUCUAAUUUGGUUUCUGGGAAGACUUCAUUCAGGUCCUCAAUGGUCAUCUGAUCAAAUGGAAUUAUGUUCUUCAUCUUCUCCAGCAUUUUUUCAUAUUCUUCAAUCCUGGCCUUUGAGAGAGACAAAAACUCAGCACAGCGUUUCACAUCUUUUUUUUUCCCUCAGCAUCCACCUGGACAAUGUAUUUAUCCUCUGGCACAGAAACUUUCAACCUUCAAGGCGUUAAACUUCUUAUCAAAGUCAUCUACCAGGCCAGCCUUUGCCACAUUGGCCUUGUAGUAAGCCCAGUCGAUAGCAGGUGGUUUCUCAGGAAGAGUAGCCAACCUGGAGGGACACUGGAGCAAGAUGAUUGGACAAUAAGACUGCAAAUUCUACAUACUGCAAAUGCAAAUGGAUUCCAUGUCUCCUCCACAAGCAUCCACCACUAAUCCUUGAGAGUGACCUUGUCCAGGCCAUCACUCCAGCAGGGCACUCAAUCUGCUCUCGGUUUCACAGUUGGACAGAACAUGGAGAUGCUCAGUUCAUGAAUGGACAGUCUUCAGGGAGGAACUGUUUAGAAAAUGGCCCUGGGCUGAGCAUAGCUUAGAAGUCUGUUCUGCUUAGUUAGGUUGGUCAUGACUUUUAAAAUCUACCUUUUAAAGUGUGCAGGCUAACACUUCUGCCUGCUUAAGUGAUUUAAUGGUUUCCUCAGCUCUGGAGUGGUAUCUGAGACCAGGAAGGACACUGGUCAGCCAGAAUCUGUUGAUCACUUGCCAGAGACAAGGAAAGCAGGUAAGGCUGGGGCAUGAAACUACUGGGUGAUAUUCUUAUAACUUUGUUCUCUGAAUCUCAGUGGGAACCAAAGUGUUUUCCCUUUAUCAGCACCCUGUGACUCAAGGGGGAAGUGAGACAGGAAAGGAGGGGGAGGUUGUUUUGCUUUUCUAGUAAAAUGUCCUGUUCCCAAAGUUCCAAAAAGAAAAUCUUGGAAACUCAUAUUAGUUUAGUGGAUUGGAAUACAUUGUAGAAAAUGAAGUGUAGAGGUGUUAGCAGCACCUUUUCCAGGAAAAAAAUCAAGAAAUUCAUGGCUCUGGGCAGCAACUGGUGGUGGUUUUUAUAAAGAAGUUUAUCUACCCUGCAGUCUGGGAAAACAGUCUCCAGAAGACUGUCCUCACAUCAUUUACCAGCCCCAAGUUCAGGGUCUCUAGGACCAUCACUAAUUUAUAUCAGCUGGUUCCAAAUUUGAGGAUCCCCAAAAACUCCUGCAGAUUUG
rnacentral:lncRNA from 1 species